ensembl:snRNA U6 U6 spliceosomal RNA
GUGCUCACUUUGGCAGCACACAUAUUAAAAGUGGAAUGAUGCAAAGAUUAUUAGCAUGAUCCCCACAAGGAUGACAAGCAAAACUGUAAAUUGUUCUAUUUUUUA